rnacentral:rRNA from 1 species
CAGCAGUCAGGCGGCGAGUGAUAAAAUCCGUCGUCAAGAGGGAAACAACCCAGACUACCAGCUAAGGUCCCUAAAUCUUACUUAAGUGGAAAACGAUGUGAAGUUACUUAAACAACCAGGAGGUUGGCUUAGAAGCAGCCAUCCUUUAAAGAAAGCGUAAUAGCUCACUGGUCUAGUGAUUUUGCGCGGAAAAUAUAACGGGGCUAAAGUAAGUACUGAAGCUGUAGACUUAGUUUACUAAGUGGUAGGAGAGCGUUCUAUUUGCGUCGAAGGUAUACCGGUAAGGAGUGCUGGAGCGAAUAGAAGUGAGCAUGCAGGCAUGAGUAGCGAUAAUUAAUGUGAGAAUCAUUAACGCCGUAAACCCAAGGUUUCCUACGCGAUGCUCGUCAUCGUAGGGUUAGUCGGGUCCUAAGUCGAGUCCGAAAGGGGUAGACGAUGGCAAAUUGGUUAAUAUUCCAAUACCAACAUUAGUGUGCGAUGGAAGGACGCUUAGGGCUAAGGGGGCUAGCGGAUGGAAGUGCUAGUCUAAGGUCGUAGGAGGUUAUACAGGCAAAUCCGUAUAACAAUACUCCGAGAACUGAAAGGCUUUUUGAAGUCUUCGGAUGGAUAGAAGAACCCCUGAUGCCGUCGAGCCAAGAAAAGUUUCUAAGUUUAGCUAAUGUUGCCCGUACCGUAAACCGACACAGGUGGGUGGGAUGAGUAUUCUAAGGCGCGUGGAAGAACUCUCUUUAAGGAACUCUGCAAAAUAGCACCGUAUCUUCGGUAUAAGGUGUGGUUAGCUUUGUAUUAGGAUUUACUCCGAAAGCAAGGAAACUUACAACAAAGAGUCCCUCCCGACUGUUUACCAAAAACACAGCACUCUGCUAACUCGUAAGAGGAUGUAUAGGGUGUGACGCCUGCCCGGUGCUCGAAGGUUAAUUGAUGGGGUUAGCAUUAGCGAAGCUCUUGAUCGAAGCCCGAGUAAACGGCGGCCGUAACUAUAACGGUCCUAAGGUAGCGAAAUUCCUUGUCGGUUAAAUACCGACCUGCAUGAAUGGCGUAACGAGAUGGGAGCUGUCUCAAAGAGGGAUCCAGUGAAAUUGUAGUGGAGGUGAAAAUUCCUCCUACCCGCGGCAAGACGGAAAGACCCCGUGGACCUUUACUACAGCUUGACACUGCUACUUGGAUAAGAAUGUGCAGGAUAGGUGGGAGGCUUUGAGUAUAUGACGCCAGUUGUAUAUGAGCCAUUGUUGAGAUACCACUCUUUCUUAUUUGGGUAGCUAACCAGCUUGAGUUAUCCUCAAGUGGGACAAUGUCUGGUGGGUAGUUUGACUGGGGCGGUCGCCUCCCAAAUAAUAACGGAGGCUUACAAAGGUUGGCUCAGAACGGUUGGAAAUCGUUCGUAGAGUAUAAAGGUAUAAGCCAGCUUAACUGCAAGACAUACAAGUCAAGCAGAGACGAAAGUCGGUCUUAGUGAUCCGGUGGUUCUGUGUGGAAGGGCCAUCGCUCAAAGGAUAAAAGGUACCCCGGGGAUAACAGGCUGAUCUCCCCCAAGAGCUCACAUCGACGGGGAGGUUUGGCACCUCGAUGUCGGCUCAUCGCAUCCUGGGGCUGGAGCAGGUCCCAAGGGUAUGGCUGUUCGCCAUUUAAAGCGGUACGCGAGCUGGGUUCAGAACGUCGUGAGACAGUUCGGUCCCUAUCUGCCGUGGGCGUAAGAAGAUUGAAGAGAUUUGACCCUAGUACGAGAGGACCGGGUUGAACAAACCACUGGUGUAGCUGUUGUUCUGCCAAGAGCAUCGCAGCGUAGCUAAGUUUGGAAAGGAUAAACGCUGAAAGCAUCUAAGCGUGAAGCCAACUCUAAGAUGAAUCUUCUCUAAGCUCUCUAGAAGACUACUAGUUUGAUAGGCUGGGUGUGUAAUGGAUGAAAGUCCUUUAGCUGACCAGUACUAAUAGAGCGUUUGGCUUAUCUUUAAUAAAGCAU